ACGGAAGGCAGCAGUGGGGAAUAUUGGGCAAUGGGCGAAAGCCUGACCCAGCAACGCCGCGUGAAGGAAGAAGGUCUUCGGAUUGUAAACUUCUUUUAUAAGGGACGAAGAAAGUGACGGUACCUUAUGAAUAAGCCACGGCUAACUACGUGCCAGUAGCCGCGGUAAUACGUAGGUGGCAAGCGUUAUCCGGAUUUACUGGGUGUAAAGGGCGCGUAGGCGGGGAUGCAAGUCAGAUGUGAAAUCCAUGGGCUUAGCCCAUGAACUGCAUUUGAAACUGUAUCUCUUGAGUGCUGGAGAGGUAGACGGGAUUCCUUGUGUAGCGGUGAAAUGCGUAGAUAUAAGGAAGAACACCAGUGGCGAAGGCGGUCUACUGGACAGUAACUGACGCUGAGGCGCGAAAGCGUGGGGAGCAAACAGGAUUAGAUACCCUGGUA
rnacentral:rRNA from 1 species